rnacentral:rRNA from 1 species
CUGCUGCCUUCCGUAGGAGUUGGGCCGUGUCUCAGUCCCAAUGUGGCCGUUCACCCUCUCAGGCCGGCUACUGAUCGUUGCCUUGGUAGGCUUUUACCCCACCAACUAGCUAAUCAGACGCGGAACCAUCGUAUACCACCUCAGUUUUUCACACUGCUUCAUGCGAAACUGUGCGCUUAUGCGGUAUUAGCACCUAUUUCUAAGUGUUAUCCCCCAGUAUACGGCAGGUUUUCCACGCGUUACUCACCCGUCCGCCACUAA